rnacentral:rRNA from 1 species
GCGGCGAAAGGGUGAGUAACACGUAACCAACGUACCCCUCAGAUCGGGAUAACCACUGGAAACGGUGGAUAAUACUGAAUGGUCCUAGGAAGGACAUCCUUCCGAAGGUAAACGGCGGCUUCGGCUGCUGUUGAGGGAGCGGGUUGCGUCCUAUCAGCUUGUUGGUGAGGUAACGGCUCACCAAGGCUAUGACGGGUAGCGGGUCUGAGAGGAUGAUCCGCCACACUGGGACUGAGACACUGCCCAGACUCCUACGGGAGGCUGCAGUCGAGAAUCUUCCACAAUGGGUGAAAGCCUGAUGGAGCGACGCUGCGUGUAGGAUGAAGGCCUUAGGGUUGUAAACUACUGUCACGCUAUAGGAACCCGUGUAGGUUAAUAGCCUGCGCGCUGACCAAAGCGAGAGGAAGUGCCGGCUAACUCCGUGCCAGCAGCCGCGGUAAGACGGAGGGCGCAAGCGUUGUUCGGAAUCACUGGGCAUAAAGGGCGCGUAGGCGGCCAGUUCAGUCGGAUGUGAAAUCCCCCGGCCCAACCGGGGAACUGCAUUCGAUACUGACUGGCUAGAGGAUGGUAGGAGCCAAUGGAACUCCAGGUGGAACGGUGAAAUGUGUAGAUAUCUGGAGGAACACCGGUGGCGAAAGCGAUUGGCUGGGCCAUUUCUGACGCUGAGGCGCGAAAGCUAGGGGAGCGAACGGGAUUAGAUACCCCGGUAGUCCUAGCCGUAAACGAUGGGUACUGGG